rnacentral:lncRNA from 1 species
GUCAUAUUCACAGUACACCAGACAAGUAACUGCUUCUGUAAGAGGCUCAGAAAAACGUCCUUCAAAUCGGAUGGAUCCUUGAGAAAUCUAAUUUGAGCAUACAGUUGAAUUAUGAUGAUCUGCUGUUAAGUCAAAUGAUAAUAUAAAACUGUUUUUAUCAAACAUUUCCUUUGUGAUUUGCAAGCCUCGAUCAUAAUGUCUUAUGCCACUUGAUCUGAAUAACAUGUUAUAUCCUCUAGAGCUUUGAGCAUUUUCAGAAUUGGAGAAAUCAAAUUCAAGUGCCUGCGAUGAUACUUGCACUCCAUUUACCAUUAGUUUAAAGCGUUGAAUUUUAAAAUGAUCAAAGUUGAAGGGAUUUAAUGUCCGAUUUCCUGAAUAUGAUUUGUUUUUUACCAUGCAAAAGGCCAAGAAAUUAGGUAGCUGUCCAAUAACUGCGUUGUCAAUUGAUAGCUUAUUAUUUCCUGGAUAUAUUGUAAAUGCAAGAACUUCAAGAAAAUUCACACCAAUAAUCUGGAUACAACAAAGCAAAAACAAUUUCAUUGGACUAGACAAAGAUGAAUGGAUGCAGUUGAUUACCUACAAGGAGUAUAUUCAAAGCUUGAUCAGUAUGAUUUCUUGAUGCCUAGGGGAUGAUCAGGGGAAAGCAACAUUUCGGCUGCCCGAUCCCUAGAGGGGGAAGCUGGGCCAUAGACCAACGCCGAAGCUAAACGGUUCACAUACGCCGAAAAGAGGAGUGCAGGGCACAUACUCCGUCGGCAGUACGCGAGCACAGAAGCCAGCCCCUCAGAGGACUUGCUGGGGCCGCUUGUCCCCCAUCAAACCGAGAGGGAAAAAGAAACCCCCCUGGUGGUCGAAGAACAUUGAAAUCCUACGUAAAAGCUGCAGAAAUAAUUUUAAUAAAGCCAAAAACAGCAACGAGGACGAUCUAUGGGCAGACUACAAGACCAGCCUUGACCUAUACAAAAAAGAAACUAGGAGAGCAAAAAGAGCCUCCUGCCAAAAAUUCUGUACCGAAAUCGAAGAAACGGCAGAAGCCGCAAGGCUGCGCAAGAUCCUCUCGAAAACGAAUACCUCUGUGUGAUACAUCAGGAGUACAGAUGGUGCAUGGACCAACUCCAGCAAUUAGUCCCUACAUAUCCUACUCGAUACCCACUUUAAAGGGUGCACAACCGAACCACCGGAACGCCCCGGUGAAGGCCCAGCCACAUCGAUGGCGCACCUACUCACAAAACGGAACAUUUUCUGGGCGGUGAACAGCUUCAAACCGUUCAAAUCGCCAGGUCCAGACAAGGUGAUCCCAGCUCAACUUCAGAGAGCUGGGGACCGCUGGCUACAAUGUAUAUUCAAAAGGAUACUAAAGGUAGGAAAGGUUCCUAAAGCAUGACUCAAGGCAGAAAUUGUCUUCAUCCCGAAAUCGGGAAAAGCCUCCUACUCGACGGCAAAGGACUUCAGACCAAUUAGUCUGACCUCCUUCCUCCUAAAAAUAUUUGAAAGAAUAGUCGGUCUACAUAUGAGGACCUUCAGAUGCUGUCAGACUCACAACACGCAUACCGGAAAGGUAAAUCCACAGAAACGGCCCUACACGAAGUCAUUUCAGGUAUAGAGAAAGCUCUACACCUUAAGGAAUACACCCUAGCGGCCUUCCUCGAUAUUGAGGGAGCCUUCAACAACGUCGAGAUAGGAGCCAUGACUGACCUGGGGGUGGACUGCCACUUGGUGAUGCUCAUCGAUCAAUUGCUCACAUGAAGGACGGUGAAAUCAUCAAAGGAUUCGUGCACUCAGACAAGGUAUGUGAAAAGAGGUCCCCCGCAAGGAUGUGUAAUGUCUCCCCUCCUAUGGAACAUUGCAGUCAAUAAGAUUCUAUAUGACUUGGAGGGGGGUGGUUGCAAAGUAGUGACAUAUGUAGACGACGUUGUCCUUAUGAACAUAAGGGAAAAUUCCCCCAAACAAUCUGUGAUCUUAUGACCACAAAACUUGCUCGAUUGUCAGAAUGGACAAGAUUGGCGAAUUUGGCGUUAAUGCCUCGAAAACGGAACUUGUGCUAUUCACUAACAAGUGCAAAGCUAAACAAAUGUAGGUUAACCUUUAGCGACAGUGCCAGUUACCUUGGGUUGGUGAUAGACAGGAAGUUAAAUUGGAACCUAAACACGAAAGAAAGAGUGAAGAUGGCCACUAUGGCCCUAUACACCUGCAAAAAAGCCAACGGACUAAAAUGGGGCAUGAACCCACGUAUUGCCACGUCCAUUGCCAGACAUCUGGAAAAAACGCACCGCUGAACUAUGCAAACUAAGCAGACAUAUGUGCAGCGUAGUCAUUCGCUCUCUUGCAGGGCACUGGCUAAUAGGCAACCAUGCAAAUAGACUGGGUGCCCCCCAUAACGACUUUUGUCGUAGCUGUAGAGACGAGGACGAGGAGGAGACAGUACAAAAUCUGUUCUGUUCCUGCCCGGCUCUCAGUAGAAGGAGGUUGUAAUAUGUGGGCUCACCUUUUCUUAACGACAUUUCAGAAAUGGCUACUAUAGGCCCCAGGAAGAUAGCAACCUUUUUGAGAGCAUCUGGAUGGGAGCACAGUUGAUACCCUGACAAACGGGAGGAUAACCUAACCUUAACCUAACCUAACCUAUGGUUUGAUGAAACACACAAUUCCUGGAUAGAUAAAAAAAGUAUAUUAAAAUAAUUAAACAGAAAGAAACAAUUUUUUUAUAGCGU